UACGGGGGGGGCAAGCGUUGUUCGGAAUUACUGGGCGUAAAGGGCUCGUAGGUGGUCAACUAAGUCGGACGUGAAAUCCCUCGGCUUAACCGGGGAACUGCGUCCGAUACUGGAUGACUUGAGUUCGGGAGAGGGAUGCGGAAUUCCAGGUGUAGCGGUGAAAUGCGUGGAUAUCUGGAGGAACACCGGUGGCGAAGGCGGCAUCCUGGACCGACACUGACGCUGAGGAGCGAAAGCGUGGGGAGCAAACAGG
rnacentral:rRNA from 1 species